rnacentral:lncRNA from 1 species
GGGAGCUGAUGAUCCUGUGUGUACUGAUAUGUUAGUAUGGGUGGGAAGGAGAGCAAUGCUGAGGAGACUAGUGAUGAGUUAGACGUUAAAUGGGAAGUAGAGGAGAGGGUCGUAUGUAAGAGUGGAACACUGCCUGUGGGAAUACCAGCAUGGAGAUUUUAGUCAACAAUUGUAUCACGUCAUAUAUUUGAUAUCUUGGUAAAAGCUGGGGUUUCGGAAGAAGAGCACGAAUGCAUCAAUGUAAAAGAAAGUGAACAACGGGGAACGGCGAACACUAAAGACGUAACAUUUGUUAAAAAAAAAAAAAAAAAGAAAGAAAAAAAAACUCAUUAAAAA